CCUCAGUUUCCGGCUCCGUUU
rnacentral:siRNA from 1 species